AACCCAUUGUUAGGACAUUUUCUGAGCAGUGACUUAAAUCUUUCCUAGGCUUCACAAAAUGGUUCAUCCACACUUUGCUUGAAAGUAGUAAUCUCAAAUUUGGCUU
rfam:Cajanus cajan Scaffold132748_9, whole genome shotgun sequence.